rnacentral:rRNA from 1 species
GAUGCCAAGCUUCCAGGAAAAGCCUCUAAGCAUCAGGUGACAUUCAAUCGUACCCCAAACCGACACAGGUGGUCAGGUAGAGAAUACUCAGGCGCUUGAGAGAACUCGGGUGAAGGAACUAGGCAAAAUGGUGCCGUAACUUCGGGAGAAGGCACGCUGGCAUUAGGUAAAGAGACUUGCUCUCGGCGCCGAAGCCAGUCGCAGAUACCAGCUGGCUGCAACUGUUUAAUAAAAACACAGCACUGUGCAAACACGAAAGUGGACGUAUACGGUGUGACGCCUGCCCGGUGCUGGAAGGUUAAUUGAUGGGGUCAGCCGCAAGGCGAAGCUCUUGAUCGAAGCCCCAGUAAACGGCGGCCGUAACUAUAACGGUCCUAAGGUAGCGAAAUUCCUUGUCGGGUAAGUUCCGACCUGCACGAAUGGCGUAAUGAUGGCCAGGCUGUCUCCACCCGAGACUCAGUGAAAUUGAACUCGCUGUGAAGAUGCAGUGUACCCGCGGCAAGACGGAAAGACCCCGUGAACCUUUACUAUAGCUUGACACUGAAUAUUGAGCCUUGAUGUGUAGGAUAGGUGGGAGGCAUCGAAGCGUGGACGCCAGUCUGCGUGGAGCCAACCUUGAAAUACCACCCUUUAAUGUUUGAUGUUCUAACUCGGCCCCAUAAUCUGGGGUGAGGACAGUGUCUGGUGGGUAGUUUGACUGGGGCGGUCUCCUCCCAAAGAGUAACGGAGGAGCACGAAGGUUAGCUAAUCACGGUCGGACAUCGUGAGGUUAGUGCAAAGGCAUAAGCUAGCUUGACUGCGAGAGUGACGGCUCGAGCAGGUACGAAAGUAGGUCUUAGUGAUCCGGUGGUUCUGAAUGGAAGGGCCAUCGCUCAACGGAUAAAAGGUACUCCGGGGAUAACAGGCUGAUACCGCCCAAGAGUUCAUAUCGACGGCGGUGUUUGGCACCUCGAUGUCGGCUCAUCACAUCCUGGGGCUGAAGUAGGUCCCAAGGGUAUGGCUGUUCGCCAUUUAAAGUGGUACGCGAGCUGGGUUUAGAACGUCGUGAGACAGUUCGGUCCCUAUCUGCCGUGGGCGUUGGAAGAUUGAGAGGGGCUGCUCCUAGUACGAGAGGACCGGAGUGGACGCAUCACUGGUGUUCGGGUUGUCAUGCCAAUGGCAUUGCCCGGUAGCUAAAUGCGGAAAAGAUAAGCGCUGAAAGCAUCUAAGCGCGAAACUUGCCUCGAGAUGAGUCUUCCCUGGGGCUUUAAGCCCCCUGAAGGAACGUUAAAGACUAUGACGUUGAUAGGCUGGGUGUGUAAGUGCAGCGAUGCAUUGAGCUAACCAGUACUAAUGAUCCGU